rnacentral:rRNA from 1 species
AUGGCCAAUGGCCGCCUUGACCGUCCACUAAUCCACCGCGAGACAAAACUACAGAAAUAUACUACUGGGAGAAUAAUAAUAACACGGGAUCCCCACAUCACCCAACCCACCUGGUUCCCCUCACGUCGCCGUGCUUCGUUUGCGCGACCACAGCCCGCGAGCCAGCGCGACGAAGCCGGGGGGCGAUCCCUCCACCGCCGCCGGCGACCCCAUCCCCCGAAGCCGCCGGCGGUACCGGCCCACGCCGCCCUCCGCGAUCCCCCACCCGGCACAGAAAUCUUUUUUGUUGUUGUGAGUUAUCCGAAGUUCGCUUCAAACAUGAGUGCUGCUAAUCGUUCCCAACCCAUCAAGUUGAACAGGCCUGUCGUAGGCAAAGCACGAAAGUUGAAGGAUCUCAUGCUGAAAAGUGACAAUCGAGUGUGUGCUGAUUGUAGUGCACCUGACCCCAAAUGGGCGUCUUCUAAUAUCGGAGUAUUUCUUUGCUUAAAAUGUGGAGACGUCCACAGGGCCCUUGGACAAGACAUUUCAAACGUUUUGUCUUUAACUUUGGAUGAUUGGUCUGAUAGUGAUAUUGACUCCAUGAUUGAGGUUGGUGGAAACUCAUAUGCAAAUUCAAUUUAUGAGGCUUUUCUUCCAAAAGAUCACCCAAAACCUAAACCAGACUCACCAAUGGAAUAUCGUACCAAAUUUAUAAGAGCCAAGUAUGAAACACAAGAUUUUCUGAAGCCAAGUUUGCGCAUUAGCUCAAAGGCAGGUUUAGAAUCUACCAAUUCUCUGAACAGUGUGGAUAAUAGUUUCUCUAGCACUUCAAGGAAGCAUGCCCCAGAAGAUACAAGAGAAUUUGUUGGACAACUGAACAUUACAGUGGUAAAAGGUUCUGGGUUGGCGGUCAGAGAUAUGCUUACAAGUGAUCCUUAUGUUGUUUUAAGUCUUGGAGAGCAGAAGGCUCAAACAACAGUUAAAGCGAGUGACCUGAACCCGGUAUGGAAUGAGGUUCUUAAUCUAUCAGUUCCUCGAAAUUAUGGACCUUUAAAACUUGAAGUGUAUGAUCACGACACUUUUUCUGCUGACGAUAUCAUGGGGGAAGCAGAGAUAGAUCUGAAGCCAAUGAUCACAGCUGCUAUGGCCUUUGGAGACCCGUCGCGUCACGCGGACAUGCAAAUUGGAAGGUGGUUCAUGACCAGAGACAAUUGCCUGUUGAGCGACAGCAUUGUCAAUAUUUCGUCGGGAAAGGUAAAACAGGAAGUUUACCUAAAGCUGCAGAACGUAGAAUCAGGUGAGAUGGAGUUAGAACUGGAAUGGGCUCGUCUAGAUUAA